CACGUAGGAGACAAGUGUUAUCCGGAGUUACUGGGCGUAAAGGGCUCGUAGGCGGCCAACUAAGUCAGACGUGAAAUCCCUCGGCUUAACCGGGGAACUGCGUCUGAUACUGGAUGGCUUGAGGUUGGGAGAGGGAUGCGGAAUUCCAGGUGUAGCGGUGAAAUGCGUAGAUAUCUGGAGGAACACCGGUGGCGAAGGCGGCAGCCUGGACCAAUUCUGACGCUGAGGAGCGAAAGCCAGGGGAGCAAACGGG
rnacentral:rRNA from 1 species